CAAUUAAUCAGACUUUAUUAUAAUGAAAAAACGAUGUGCAGUUACAAUCACCAUAAGAAUUUUCGCAGAGUAGAGGAAGUCAUUAAUUAUACUCUGAACAUUAAUCAUCUUAAAACAAUGAGCUUUAAAUCAGGCAAAAGUCAAACAUCAGGUUUUAAUGGUUUCAUCUAAUUUUUAAAAUCAUAUAAAAGGAUCACCAAAGAAAGGAAAAGUCAUUCGAUUCAAACAAUCAAACUAUCUCAACUCAACAAACAAUUCUUUCAACUUUUCGUGUUAAAAACUCGACAAAAAACAACCAACUAAAAAUGGAAGCUAAAACCCUUUUCGUCUACAUUGCUGCCUUUGCCUACACCGUCGCCAUGGCCUAUGCCGACCCUGAGCCAAAGCCAGAACCAAUCGGAGCACUUCUCGACAGUCUCCUCGGAUAGACUUGAUUCAAUCAACUGUUGGCUACCAUUGACCAUGUACUAAUCAUGCCCAAAAUGAUUAUUAGAAAGAAGUAAAAUUCCAAUAAGCAUAUAAA